rnacentral:rRNA from 1 species
ACUCAAAUGAAUUGACGGGGGCCCGCACAAGCGGUGGAGCAUGUGGUUCAAUUCGACGCAACGCGAAGAACCUUACCCAGGCUUGAACAGCCAGUGACCACUCCUGAAAAGGAGCUUCCGCAAGGACACUGGUAGAGGUGCUGCAUGGCUGUCGUCAGCUCGUGUCGUGAGAUGUUGGGUUAAGUCCCGCAACGAGCGCAACCCUUGUCUGCUGUUGCCAUCACGUUAUGGUGGGCACUCUGCAGAGACUGCCGGUGAUAAACCGGAGGAAGGUGGGGAUGACGUCAAGUCAGCAUGGCCUUUAUGUCUGGGGCUACACACGUGCUACAAUGGCAGAUACAAACCGUCGCGAGACCGCAAGGUGGAGCUAAUCGGAGAAAGUCUGUCUCAGUUCGGAUUGUCGGCUGCAACUCGCCGGCAUGAAGUUGGAAUCGCUAGUAAUCGCGGAUCAGCACGCCGCGGUGAAUACGUUCCCGGGCCUUGUACACACCGCCCGU